rnacentral:lncRNA from 1 species
UUAUGCUAAUAAUCAUCAUGUUAGUGGGAGCAUGAUAAUUAUGAUAAGUAUUGCAAGUUAGCAAUGUUAAUUAUAGAAAACAAAAGUUUCAAUUGGGAAAAAGUUGUUUUGCUAUAAUUAAGGGAGAGGAAAUUAUACUUCAUCUCAAAUCUAUAAGCUUAGAUCGUGAGGUUUUAAUCAUUUAGUCAAGGAUAUAUAUGAAUUUCAUGUUGGAAUGGCUCAACAUAAGGAAAUUCUGUAUAUGGGUCCAUUAUUUGCGUUCUAAAAUUCGAUUAUGAUUACGGCAUCCCUUUUCAUAAUCUGAAUUAUGAGAACUUGGCAAAUUGAAAUGGAAAUAUUAUAGCAAAAGACUGGUUUAGUCUUUAUGUAAGACAUCAUGAAUCGUGUCCCAUAUGCUUCGGAUAUAGGAUCGAUUACAUGUGCUAUAUUCAUCCGUUCUAAAAUUUUCCAAAUGCCUGGGGCAUUAAGAAGGGAAAAGGUUUAGAACUGGAUAUGACUAAAAGGAUUAAACAAUUGUCGAGGACAAUCUAAGGUUUACCAAAGAUUGGUUGCUCAAGGACAGUUGGAAGUAUAGUGAUAAUUCUGGAAGGACCAUAUUGACAUAAUCUGUAAGGAGGCAACUCUUGUUCAGAAGUGAUAGUCAAAAUGGAAUCUGGAAAUGUUUCAAAGUUAGAAUUUUCAAUCUGUUUAAGAUUAGGAAACUUAAUGCAAGAAGGAUGUUUCCAAGGAGCUGAUCUCCUUUGGAAUACUCUGUAAUGAUUGUUGUCAAGUCUUUCUGACUUUGUGCAUAAUCAUUACAAGAGGAUCAAUGCAUAUAAGUUUAGAAUCUAACAGAUUUCAGUAAAUGGCAUGAAUUUGGAAUUCUUGCAUUUGCAGUAAGGAUUUGGGAGUGUGAAAAGAGAAUCAUUGAAGUUAUGUUCAAUUGAUCUAGUUCACAAAGUAAAGAUCAUAGACAAACAUAGUAUGCAUACUUGGUGUGUGGCAUGACUAGUGUUUAAGAAAACAUAGUGUACAUGCUUGGAGCAUGGGACAACUAUUGUUUUAAAUUCAAGAAUAAAGUUGAUAGCUGAAACAGUAUACAAUGAAUAAUGUGUAAUCAUAUGGUGAUAAAUAAAAGGUGUUUUAUUUAUGUUCAAAGGGUUGAUACCAUAUUGGAUUCAAUUAUUAUUGUGUUUCACUUUGCAUGUUUUGACUUCCCGAAUAAACUAGGUUAUUCUUCCGGAAUGACUAAGUUAUUCAAACCAUCCACAGUCGGUCAUAUGUUGGAAGUAGAUAUGAAUUAAGACUGUCAUGGGUUGGCUUGUAGAGGUCUAAGGUGUUGGACAAAGGGCUACAACACUCAUGAGUGCUCAUAAGUUCUGAGUAUUGGAUUCAACCCGCGCUCAUUGGAAUCACUUCAUGGAUUUUAUCACGAGUGAUCAUGAGACGAUAAUAUCUUAUAUUCUUCAAACCUAGAGAUAUGAGUUGUUACUAUGAGUUGAUAGUACAUUGAUUGCACGAAAACGCAUUUGGUAACUCGGUGCUAUAAAACGUGCCUUUGUGUAUGAUUCAACAAGUAGUAGAACAAGCCAUAUGAGUCGAAGUUUAUCCGUUCCUUUUACCUUCGGGAUAAAAGCGAUAUCUGUGGGCCCCUCGAUGAUUUGAUGAUGACAAAUGGAAGUGCUCGGCCGGGCCAGGACUGAUUUGAUUUGUUCAAUUAGUCAGUCGUCAUAAAUCGGAAAUCGGGAAACAACAAAUGGACAGAGAGAAUGAUUAUAAUCCAUGUCUCAGUCCAUAUGAUAUCUAGAAUGGAGGAAUAUAUGAUCCCUUAUCUAAUGGACAAGUCAUUGACAAAGGUCAGAGUUCAUCUACAAGGUCAGAGUUCGACAGAAGCUUUUGAGAGCUACGAUUGCCAGUUGGUUCCUGAAGUCAUACGCAAUAAUAGUUUUAGACUUAUCCAAGUGGGAGACUGUUGGAUUAAUGUCUAAGUCCAUAACUAUAAUUGGUAAGACUUGACCCGACCCGGCAUGGUCCAUUUGGGUUGCAUACCAUCAUGCACUUGGAUAGACUAUAAUGAGAGAAAUAAGACACUUAUGGUUAUUAAUAUAUUAUAAGUUCUAGUAUAUUAAUAAUAAGAAUAAUAAGAUUAUUUAAUUAGUAUUGAUCAAGAAUUAAUCUAGGAUUAAUUAAGUGAUCAAAAGAAGACUAAUUAAAUAUAUGGGUUGAUUGUGUAAAUCAUCCAUACUUGUAUAGUGGGCUAAUGCUCCAUGGAUAAUCAAGUUGGGCUAAAACCCAUAGGAUGGUCCAUGGAUGCUCCAUGGUGUAUUUGUACCCAUGGAUCCAAGGAAAUGGAAAGCCAUGACAAUUAAGAGUUUACCCUAAUUGUGUAACUAUAUAAGCAUCUUAUUAUUGAGGAAAAAUCGGCCACUAGAGAUAGUGAAGAAAGGGCUAGCCGAUUUUGAUGAGUGUAGAAUUCUCUCAAGUCAUUCUAAGUGUUUUGAUGAUUGUGAUUCCAUUUGAGGUGUCACACUUGGGGCACUAGGCACUCAAGCUUCAUGAAGACUUUCUACACCAAAGAGGUAUGUAUUCUAUCUUGCUAUAGUUAUUGUUUUGUAUGCUAGAUUAGGAUAAUACCUUGGAAGUUCUUAUUUGCAUGUAUAAUAGAGAAAACAUAGAUCCAAGGUAUUUAGGGUUGCAUGUACACUUAGGAAGUGUUAGAAUGCUCAAAACCCAACAGUGGUAUCAGAGCCACGGGUUGUUUUCUGUUAUAUUGAUGCAAAUAUUUUAUUUUCAAAGUUGAAAAAAAAAAAAAAAAAAAACAUGAAGUUUGUCAAAUUUUAAGAUAAUUACUUGUUCUUGUGAAAAACUAAUUAUUUGUAAAAUUUGAAUAAUUUGCUUUAUGAGUUGAAUUAGGUCAAAUUUAAUAAAAGAUAAAAUAAUAUGAUUAUUUUAUUAGUUUUAAAAGUUUGAUCUAAAGAGUUUUAUUUUUUGAAACCUCCAUAAGUUAUGGAUAUGAAAAGGUUUUAAAAAAAAAAUUGAUUCAAAGUUUUUUUGGAGUUACAAAAUUUGGUGUUAAUGUUUUAAAGGAUUCCAUAACUUAAGAAUAAGUUAUGGAUCACCAAAAGUUUUUUGUGUUACCUUGUUUUAUGAGUGAAUUUAGAUUAAUGAAUAAAAUUAUGUGAUAGUUGGUUUUAAUCCAAAUUAAUCUAAGAAUUGAUUCUAAAAUGUGUUUUUGUAACUUGUCCUCAAGUUAUAUGAAAAGUCACAUUUAAGAAUCAUAAAACUCAUAAAAAUUGGCAAAGGUUACAAAAAUGAAGAGUCUAGUUCUAAUUAAAUGGUUUUAUGACUCCAUAACUUGUCCUCAAGUUAUGGAGGACCAAGAGUCUCUUCAUUUAAUAAAAUAAAAUAAAAAAAAAAAAAGUGUAACCUUAAUUAAUUCCAUAAGUUAUAAAAUAAAGAAAAGUUAAUUCUUUUAUUAGUUUAAAGUCUUCCAUAACUUGUCCUCAAGUUAUGGAACUUGAAGAGUUUUUGGAUUAAAACUACUUUAAACACAUAAGUUAUGGAAUUAAUUAGUUUUGAAUAGUUUCAAAACUUGCCCUCAAGUUUUGGAAUUUGUAAAGUUUUCACUUAUGAAUACUUUAAUUCCAAGUUAGCCCUUAGAAUUUUAAAAGUUAAAAUUCAACCCUUAUACUUUAUAAUAUUAUAAGUUAAUAAUAUAUAUAUGUAUAAGAGUAAAGUCAGUCUUACCGCUAGUACGCCUCAUUCACGAAGCCGGUCUAUAAGGUGGGUAUAAGGUUGUUGCCUAUAAAAUGGCAACUUAAUGGGUGUCCACUCUCACCCACCGCUUGCUUGACUGGUGGAGGGUCGUUAGCCGAACGGGUUUGACAGGACUAGAAUUCUCCCUUCAUUAAAAGUAUUAAUGAUAAUACUAAGUAACUAAACUCUUAAUAAUACCCAAUCUUAGUUACUUAGGAAAAAUGUGAAUAAGGUGCUAAUCCAUGAAAUUACACUUUACACUUUGUCUAAGUCGUUAGUGGAGCGUGUGUGGUUAACCGGCACACUAACUUGGACUUAACAAGGUAGGUAAAGGGUGACUUAAUAUUUAUCAUAGUAUCGAUGGAGCGUGUGUGGUUAACCGGCACAUCGAUUGAGGGGUAAUUUAUUAAGGGUACCAAGUGAUUUGCAUGGUUACUUCACACCUUGUUUUGUGAUCCUCGGCAUCCCAGUCACAAAACCUGAAGGGCACACUCGAGAUUGAAACAUGCCUUUGAACAGUUCAAUGAAUCUCAAAGAUCUAGGAGUUUCAAAACCAAUUAAAACCUAAUAAUACAUUUCGUUUAUCUUGGUGGAAAUUGGUGAAUCGUCAUUCACCUACCUUCAAAUAUUUUAUAGCUUGGAUUACGGCAUACCUCUUCUAAGUUAUAAAAUAGUUUGUUGGGUCCUAGCCUUAAUAUUUCAUAUUGGGUGUCAUAUUAAGGACUUUAAAUCAACUAUCUUGAAUAUCUCCCAAAAGAUGUCUGGUUUAGACACCUAUGAUCUUCCCAAAUCUCUUGAAACAAGGUUUCCUAAUGAAGAUGAUGUCCCAUGGAUAUCAUACUUCUUUCUCCUCCUCCAAUUAUUCUCCCUAACCCACAAGUUCUUGAAAAGUUUAAGGUCACUCAAGCCCUAUUGGCAAGGCAAGGUCUAGGUGUGAUCACAUCUUGGAGAUGUAGUCACAUAUUGACAAGCCGGGAGAGUUGGGUGUCAAAGUCUUGAGAAAGUUGGUGGUUCAAUCACUUUCUAAGUCACAUAGUGAGUUCCUUUGGGACACCUAUGAAACAGACUAUGACAAGACCCUUAAUGAUCUUAUCUAUUUGCUAAGAUCAACUUCCUAAAACUUUAUGGACAUUGACAAUGAUGACAUUGGAUAUCCAGUAAAGCAUUCUCUUCCCAAUGGAAAGGGAUCGGCCAUAGUCAACUCGGUUGACCAAAUGGUAAAGAGAAAAGCUAAGUCUGUGAUAGUCUCGUGUACCAUUAUCAAAGGGUCCAUAUGUUUAUAUUGCCAAAGGAAGGGGCAUUGGUUGCGAAGCUGCCAAAUUUACCUAAGGAUGUUAAAGUCAAUAAGUUUGACUCUACUUCAGGUAAAGUCCACUAUCUAACUCUGUUAAGUUUCUAUUCUGAGAUUCCUGAUACAUGAUGUGACUGGGUCACAUGGUGAUGUUUUAAGAAUCAAAGAAAAGUGAAGAAACUUAAAGAAAGAAUAUGCUGAAUCUGAUGGCGUAGAUGGAUUUCUAUCGCAUAGUUUGAAGAUCGGAUUCUUGAGCAACUUCUUAGGAGUUAUGAGAUAUUGCUUAGGAAUAGAUAACAACAAGUUUUCAUAUGGAUUGUAAGGAUAAGUUUUUCCGCAAAGUUUUAAAAUAAAAGAAAAUUUUUGAUUUUAUUUAUUUUAAAAUAUCCUUACAAUGGCAUUUGAGGAAAAAUUGUUGCUUAUAUGAUUCCAUUAAGAGCAAGAGUGGAAAUAUGAAAUUGAUUCUUUCAUUUGUGGUAAUGUCUAGAUUUACCAAAUAAGGAAAGAUUCUCAUCACCCAAGUUUCAAUUGGACCGGAACUUGGAAUCAUGCAAGUUGUAUAGCAUGAUGAAUGAGAACUUUCAAGUUUUGGAAAAUUAAGACUAAUUACUCGGCCACAUGGAUGUGUGAGUCAAGUAAAGGACUAAGGGAUCGAGUACACAUUCUUGUGCACUGAUUAAGUCCACCACAAAAGAUUGAUAAGACUAUUCGUCAUAGUUUACUAAAGCUCAGUAAAUAUGAUUAUACUUACAAGCUUAAGUGUAACUCUGAGACAUUGGAAAAGGUUCCAAUGUAUGGCAGGGCGAAUAAGAAGAAUCAAAUAAGGCAGAAGGAUAAAAGUUUCUCAAAUCUGAAAAGAUGGGAGAGUACUUUAGUAUCAGUUUUGUGAUCAUCUUAAUGAUUAAGAAACCAUAUCAAAAUUAGUUCUCUAAGGAAAUCUUAGUGCAUUCUUAUGACUAAGAAGAGGAACUUGAAUUGUUGAAAUGGUUAAAUCAAGAAGAUGAGUCAUACUUCGUUCCAAUACAAGUCUUAGAGUCAUACUCCAAGAUUGUCAUUUGAGUGACAUGUCUUAAAGAAGGUUUAAAACACUUGUCAAAUGUAAGAGUAAAAGUUUUCUACUCUUGUACAUUUGAAAUUGGUAAGUUGUGAUGUUUUGGAUAAAACAAAGACCAACUUAGGCCAAUUGGGUAAAGUGUUUUUCUUGAUUAGAAUCCGCACUAUCUCUUGGAUGUUUGACAAGGGAGUCUUAUAUGUCAAGAGGACAGUGGGAGUCUUAAAGGUCUUGAAAGUCUCAAGAACUAAUCAAGAAUAAAACCUGAAGUUCUUCACUAGCACACGACUUGAGGUUUAUAACCUAUCGUGUUGACAUAUCUGUGCCCAUUCCAGUUAAAGUUGGCUUUGCAUAUGAGUUCUUAGAGUUCUCAAUUUGUUGCACAACAACUUGGAAGCAAUGGCAGGCCCUUGAGCUGCCAGGUGGCAAGAAAUUAAGAUUGAGUUCAGUCCAUAUGAGUUUGGAUUUGUCAUUAUCCUUGUCUUGUGACUAUGGUUUUGACAAUUCACAUGGAUAAGAACACAUACACCAUUAAAUCUAAGUGUCAUAAGGUUUCUCUCCGAUUCAUGAAAAUGAUGGUGAGGAAACACUUUCACUAAGUAGAUUUUAGCUAGAUAGCAAUUGUGAUAUUUGCAUUCUCAAAGUCGUUAGUGGAGCGUGUGUGGUUUACCGGCACACUAACCUGGACUUGUGAGAAGUGGCAAAAAGGUCUAACCAUUAUGAUUACGGCAUACCUCUUCAUAAUUGUUUAGACACACAAGUGUGCUAUCUAAGGGAAGGUGUAUGAUUUUGAUACAGCUUUAUCAAAACAAUCUAGCAUCAGAAAUCUGAACUUUGGUAAGAAAGUCAAUGAAGUAUUGAUUUCUAGAAGUCCAGCUGAUUUCUGAGUACAUGUCAAAGCUAGUGGGAGCAUAAGUGUUAUGCUAAUAAUCAUCAUGUUAGUGGGAGCAUGAUAAUUAUGAUAAGUAUUGCAAGUUAGCAAUGUUAAUUAUAGAAAACAAAAGUUUCAAUUGGGAAAAAGUUGUUUUGCUAUAAUUAAGGGAGAGGAAAUUAUACUUCAUCUCAAAUCUAUAAGCUUAGAUCGUGAGGUUUUAAUCAUUUAGUCAAGGAUAUAUAUGAAUUUCAUGUUGGAAUGGCUCAACAUAAGGAAAUUAUGUAUAUGGGUCCAUUAUUUGCGUUCUAAAAUUCGAUUAUGAUUACGGCAUCCCUUUUCAUAAUCUGAAUUAUGAGAACUUGGCAAAUUGAAAUGGAAAUGUUAUAGCAAAAGACUGGUUUAGUCUUUAUGUGAGACAUCAUGAAUCGUGUCCCAUAUGCUUCGGAUAUAGGAUCGAUUACAUGUGCUAUAAUCAUCCGUUCUAAAAUUUUCCAAAUGCCUGGGGCAUUAAGA